GCCGGGUGUGGUGGUGCACACCUGUAGUCCCAGCUACUCAGGAGGCUGAGGCAGGAGAAUUGCUUGAACCCAGGAGGCAGCGGUUGCAGUGAGCUGAGAUCGCGCCACUGCACCCCUGCCUGGUGACAGAGUGAGACUCUGUCUCAA
ensembl:misc_RNA Metazoa_SRP Metazoan signal recognition particle RNA